UUUGCUUGCCUUUUUGACCAACAACAACAUUAAAACAAACACAUGAUGUGCUUAUCUUUCUCUUCUAAAACUGUUGAUAGGCCUUAAUAAAACAUUAAACCAUUUCUAGUCGAACUAAGCAGCCCCUUCUUCACUUUCAAAUCACAAGGCGCGUGGCCCCUAUCAUCGAUUGUCCAGUUACGAUGAUGAUUGGUGACCAUCUCGACCUCGACAUUAAUGGGUCCGGACUUCUAUCUACAGUAAUUGCUGAUCACAGGAAAAGAGAGGGACCGAGUGGGUCCAUGUCGUGCAAAACUUGACCAUCAUGAUGCUGAUUUUUCAGUUCAUUUUGUUGCCUCUUUCCGUGAUGAGUCCGUUAUAAGCCCAAGCACCCUUUUCUUUUCAUUGGACCACUUCUUCUUCCUUUUGAUUCGGUCUGUACAACAAUACAUCGAGCGAGUUUCAAAUUUUGUGUCCGAAUUUGCACAUGGCGUGAAUGAUUUAUAUUAUAUAAAUCGAGCGGUAAGAGUAAAUGUUCAUAAAAUUAAAGUUUUAAUAAUAUAUAAUUGAUCUAACAUCUGAAUUAUUGUUAUUUUUAAAACAUACUGCUUCUUCAAAGUCAGGAGGAUUCUAUUCAUGAACAUGUGUAGGCAAUAGUGAUAGCCUACCAACCAUAUUUACACCCUGCAUUAAUUCAUUUUAUUGAAUACGAGGAUUCAAUACCCACCAUGCAAAUUUCGCACUUCACGCCAAACAAAAUAAAUGAUCUGGGUAAAUUUUUGUUUGAACAUGGAAUUUUUUGAACUGGGUCGAAUAUAGAUGAUUGAUAUCUAAAAGAAAACAAAAAGAAGAAAUGAAAUGGAAGUCAAGAGAUCCUACACUCUAAAUUUUGCAGAAAGGCCCACAUCUCAUGGGCUUAGCAGUAGGCAGUAUUCAGAACAGCAGUUGAGAUGUGUUCUAUAAGCAACAAUCAGUUUGGCACUCGGCAGUGGCCUUCGCCUAAGAUUGGGCAACUGUGAUUUUCACACAAGAGCUCAAUCCACAGAAUUCUAAAUCUUCCCGAUUCACGCCGAAAGCAAGGGCUAAAAAGAAACAUGUUUCUAAUUCUUGUAACAAAUUAAAUAUAGAUAGACAGGCCAGAAAUCCAACCUCAGCAAAAGGAUAAAUCUGAGUCUAAUUUAGAUUAGAUUAAGCCACUUUAUCUGGACAAUAACUCAUACAUAUCAAAUGAAGCAUCAGUUUUUUUUUUUUUUUCUUCUUUAGAUAGCUAGGAUUGAAAAUAUCAAUCAAGCAAGACCUUUUUUGUGUGAAUUUGAGUACAAAAUUCUACUCCUCCAAAAACAAAACAGUAAUCAAAUUAUUACUGGAGUUGUUUCUUCACAUUCAAAGCAAUUAAUCAAUGGUCACAGGAAAAUAAAAUGAAGUGAUAUUACAUUGUUAAACGGACAAAUAAGAAAUUGGUGACUUUCCGACAUUCUAAGUUUGUAAUCCCUUUUUUCAUCCAUGCAUAUGAAAUGAAAGUAGAGAAACGACAAUAAUAAAGUAAAAAGUGAUGACUUUUGCAACAAUUAAAGGAUAUAUAUAUAUAUAUAUACAUUAUCCACUUUAUUGAACAGAAAUGUAAAUAGUAUAUAAUAAAAUGGCUUGAAAUUCGAGGAAUGAACCUUUGUGUGCAAUGGAAGUUCAACACGUGAUGGACACAAGAGAGAGAGCAUUGUUAGCUGUAAAGCCAUAUG
rnacentral:lncRNA from 1 species